AGAUGCAAUCAUACCAACACUAAAGCACUGGAUCCCAUCAGAACUCUGAAGUUAAGCGUGAUUGGGCGAGAGUAGUAAGUCCUCGUGUUGCAUUCC
rnacentral:rRNA from 3 species